GGACCAUAGCUCAGUGGUAAAGCAUCUGCUUUUCAGGCAGAAGGUCCCAGGUUCAAUACUCAGCAUCUCCA
rnacentral:tRNA from 1 species